AGCGGCGAGCGAAGCGAGAAUAGACCGAGAUGAAAAUCUCUUCGGAGAAUUGUAAUCUGGACAAUGUUGAGUAUUCAGUGAGUGUAAGUCACAUGGAAAUGUGUACCGUGGAGGGUGAGAGUCCCGUCCGGCAUUCACACGAAAUCUCGUACGACAUUGUUUCAACCGAGUCGGGUAGCUUGAGAACGCUGCUCUAAUGGGUGGUAAACCUCAUCCAAGUCUAAAUACUGGUGGGAGACCGAUAGCGAACAAGUACCGUGAGGGAAAGAUGAGAAGCACUUUGAAAAGAGAGUGAAAAGAACCUGAAACUGCCACGGGGGAAGCGGAUUGUAUCAGUGUGGUGCGGCCUCUGUUCAGCAAACUCUGCCUAGUCGGGGAAUAAAGAUACGGUGGAAAGAUUUGUGUAUUCAGCGCUAGCCGCGUGGGAAUGGCUGGUCGAAUUCGGGAACAAGCGGAUUCGGCUGGUGAGGGCUCCCUUUUAUUAGGUGAGGAUUUCCACGAAAUGAUGCGAUUCGACCCGUCUUGAAACACGGACCAAGGAGUUUAGUAUUACUGCGAGUCGAAGAGUGUGAAAACUCAGAGGCGAAGUGAAAGCGAAAAUUUGAAGAUUUCAUUCUAUCAGAUUGAGGAGGUGUUGCGUCGUUGACAAAAUAUCUUACCUAGAGCAGUAAUGCUGAGACCCGAAAGAUGGUGAACUAUGCUUGAGUAGGGCAAAGCCAGAGGAAACUCUGGUGGAGGCUCGUAGCGAUGCUGACGUGCAAAUCGCUCGUCGAACUUGAGUAUAGGGGCGAAAGACUAAUCGAACCAUCUAGUAGCUGGUUCCCUCCGAAGUUUCUCUCAGGAUAGCAGGCUGACAUGAGUAAAAUUGUUUUGUGUGGUAAAGCGAAUGAUUAGCGUAUUUGGGAAAGUAAUUUUUUCGGUCGAUUCUCAAACUUUAAAUACGCAAGUUCAGAGUGGGUUGCUUAAUUGAACCUCUCUCUUCGGGAUUAAUGAAUUGAAAAUGUCGGCUUAGUGGGCCACUUUUGGUAAGCAGAACUGGCGAUAUGGGAUGAACCAUGAGUUUGGUUAAGGCGUCAAAAUAUUGGCUUAAAGAUCCCACAAAAGGUGUUGGUUCAUCUAGACAGCAGGACGGUGGCCAUGGAAGUCGGAAUCCGCUAAGGAGUGUGUAACAACUCACCUGCCGAAUGAACUAGCCCUGAAAAUGGAUGACGCUUAAGCCGAUUGCCGACACCGAACCGUUUUGGUAAGAAGCGACCAAAAUGAGUAGGAGGGCGUGGCGGUUUUGUAUUGAAGGGUAUGACGCAAGUCUGCCUGGAACGGCCGUUAGUGCAGAUCUUGGUGGUAGUAGCAAAUAUUCAAACGAGAUCCUUGAAGGGUGAAGCGGGGAAGGGUUCCACGCGAACAUUGAUUGGGCGUGGGUGAGUCGUUCCUAAGCCGGGUGGUAAUCGUUCUUUGCGAUCGGCGAAAGGGAAGCGGGUUAAAAUUCUCGCACACGGAUGUGGAGGCGGUGACGCGAAUUGAGGUGGAGACGUUAGCGUUGGCACUAGGCAGAGUUGUCUUUUCUGUUUAACCUAUUCUAGUACUCUGUGGAAUCCGAUUAUCGGGAGAAACAGGUGCGCCUAUGGGAAGAGCGUCGAGGUGUCCUCGGCGUCUAGUAUGCCAACGAUAGCCCUUGAAAAUCCAUCUGCGAUGUAAUUUCACGCCGUGACGUACCGAUAACCGCAGCAGGUCCCCAAGGUGAACAGCCUCUACUCAAUAUGAACAAUGCAGGUAAGGGAAGUCGGCAAAAUAGACCCGUAACUUUGGGAAAAGGGUUGGCUCUAGUGGGGUGAGGGGAGUGUGUCGUCGCUUCGCAGUGAUGAUGCGCACAGAGUGUUAACUGGUUGAUGCUCGCGGACUGGUGCGAGUUAAAAUUGAGAAAUCGAUUUUCGACUCUAUCCGGAUUGUGAGAUUGUCGACUGUUUUCGUUCGACCUUCAGCAUGCUCCAAACUAGAACUGCAACGGGCAAAGGGAAUCCGACUGUUUAAUUAAAACAAAGCAUUGUGAUGGCCGAGUCGUGUAGACGCAUGUGAUUUCG
rnacentral:rRNA from 1 species